UCGAUGCUGGCGGAACGGGAUCGAACCUCGCUCGGUCCUGCAUUUAGCCUUCCUGACAUAUUUUCGAAGGUUUUUCCGUCUAAAUGCGUUUUUUUUCUUUCUUUUUGUUAAAUAAAGCUUUUUCUUAAAAAAAAAAACCGCACGUGCGAUGACGUGACCAGCUGCAAGCUAUUUAAGCUGCGACUAAUUGCAUGAGCGUUCUUUCUCCAGCGGCUGACAGCAUCCCGUCGUCCUCACGCCGCUGCUGCUCUCCACACAUUUCCACAAGUAUUGGCUCCAACCCUUUCCAACAUCUGGAGAAGAGCGCCGUUUCGUGGGAGGCUUCCGUCUUAAGCGGCCAACCUGAUUCUAAAAGAUCUACUUCAGAGACUUUCUCUAUCUUUCACAGCAUGACGUCUUGAAGUUUUUAUUGCAGCUCGACUUUGUAUACACAUGCUGACCAAAUGUCACGUUGCUAAUUAUGUUACUGUGUCUUUCUUUCUUGUUUAGAGAGCCCUGCUCGCAUCACUGGUGGGAACAUGUCACAACACCCAAAAUGCAUUCAUCUCCAAUGGUGAUGGUAAAAGAUUGUGCCUUUGUGCCAUUCCUUACAUCCUGCUUCUGUGUGCAGUUAUGACAACCUCCCCUUUAAGCGAUGCUGGGUUUGAACACUCUGUAAAACAAAAUGGCUGAUAUAAACAUUUUAGUUUAACAUAUUUCUCUUCUGUCAUUCCCCCAAAGCUGCACGGAGCUGCAAUCCGGAUCCCCAACGAGUUAAGUUACCUUCACUACUCUUCACUCAUGUCCACUAGGUGGUGCAAAAGCAUCUUGGCCCUGGAGAACCUGAACCCGGCUUGGACCGACGAGUGAAGCAGAUUUCCUGCUUCAAGGUCUGACUUGAUCUGCGUCAAAGACUGACAUCCUUUUGACUUCAUCCAGCGCUGCGGUGGCUUCCGGGACAAGUUCCAUUGUGGCAGAGAACCACCUUGGCCCCAAAGAUCCUGCACCUGCUGGGGAAAAACAGUUCUACAUGACUAUGCAGAGACUGAGGAACACGUUAAACUUCCUGGAGGUCACGACACAUUGGUCGACGCGCUCGUCUUGAUUGUGAUGGUCAUCAGCAAUGAGGAAACUGUCAUUCCGGCUUCAGUCGGCUCAAGUUCAACUUAUUUUAAUCUGCAGGAGAAAUAAAUGCAAAUUACAACAAGUAUUUGUUGAUCUCACUCUUUUUCUUGCCUUGCAUGUUGUCAUCUCUUACUCAGCUGGAUGACCACAUCAGAAGAUGCUGAAGCCAAACUGUGGAGCAGCCUGAGGAGUUGGACAAGUUUGAGAUGUUUGCACUGGUGUCCACACACACUUGACAGUCCACUCUGUGAAUACACUGAACAAUCAUCACAAUGUUGUUCAAAUGUUUUUCCUUCCUGUGAGCGCUUGGACAAAGUCCCAGAGAGAAACGAGUCACAUCCUCUUCAUUGCUGUCUUGACGGCCUCUUGUUGACGUCAUGCAGAGCUGCGAGAGGAACAAGAUGUACGAGGCUCGCCUGUCGCCACGUCUGCUGGGGCGGCUUCCAGAACAAGAGCCAUCGUGGAGGAGAAGCACCCUGGCCCCCCCAAGAUCAUGCACCUGCUGGGCAAAAGCAAGUUGUACAUGAAUGUGCAGAAGAGACUGAGGAACAUGUUCAACUGCCUGGAGCUCACGACACAUUGGUCGACGCGCUGACUGUGGUGACGGUCAUCAGCAACAAGGAAACGCUGGAAGACCACAUCAGAAGGUGCUGAAGCCAAACUGGAGCAGCCAGAAAAGUUGGGGACAAGUUUGAUGCUUCCUGUGAAUGCAGCAAUGUGAGCACUUGGACAAAGUCCCAGGCAGCAACAAGUCAUCCUCUUCAUUGCUGGUAAUCUUCUGAAGGAGGGUAACGGACACCUGAGAUGACUUGCAGCAACCACUCCUCACAUCACGUCUUGACCGCCAUCCAGAGCAGCGAGAGGAAUAAGAUGCACGAGGGGUCCAUGAGAAAUAAAUUUCAACUGGUCAAAGAAAUGUCACCCAUCUUGGAGAACCUGAGUCCAGCAUCACCACGCACCUUGGACUGACUCAUGAAGCAAUCUCCUUUGUUAAGGCUGGCUUCCGGUCCAGGCCUUCCUCUCAUCCUGGUACCCUCCUCAGCUGAAGGACAACAUCCAGAAGGUGACAACCGAAGUGGGGGAUGAAUUUGAGGAGCCAACUUUAGCGCUGUUGGCUGAGGAACAUGUUCAGCUUCCUACGAGGGCUCAGUCGCAGAAAAACAAGUUGCACAUCCUUUUGUUGGUCACAACACACCUGUCCACGCUCUCCUCACGAUGACUGGUGACGAUCAACACCGAUGAGGAAACUGUUGUCUGUGACUGCCUGGUGAAGUGGACCUGUCAUCCAACACUGAAGUUGAAGCUUUUAAUGGCUGAGGAACAUGUUCAGCUUCCUGUGAGGGCUCAGUCGCACAUCCUUUCCCUGGUCAUGGCACACCAGUCCAUACUCUCCUCACAAUGACGAGGAAACUGUCAUCCAACACUGAAGUUGACUCUUUUAACGGUGCUGGGGAACAUGGUCAGUGUCCUGGCAAUGCAGAUGUGCGAGCACUUGGACAGUCCCAGAAAACACGUUUUCAUCACUGGUCUGCAAUCUCUUCCCACUGGCAGACGACUUCACCAGGAAGCGACAAGGAGACCAUCGUCAUCCAACAUGACAAGAAGCAGACCGAAAAGGGCCGAGUGACUUCAGACACCUCCUCAAGCACACAACAUGGCGUCCUCUGCAUGAAAACAGUCAACACACCUGUCCAAAAGCAGGUUGUCCUCGUCAUCGUAGCGCAGAGCCGUCCACGUGUCCCACAACUUUGCGUCUGUCGGCUGCGUGUCCGUUCAAAACCUCCUCGAUCCUGUCAGGAAUUAAAAAAAAGCAGUCAGUGACUUUCUUGUGCAUGUGCCACUUUACAUGUAAAAAAAACUUCACUUGAAGUCAAGAUGGCAAUGAAAGAGAAUUAAAAAGCUACUUCCAACACAAAACCAGAAAAAAAUAAAUCUACAAUAUAAAUAUUCCAUUUUAUUAUAACACCAUGUAUUGCUUGUCCAAAAAGGAGUAGGAAGAAGUUAAAUAUAUUUCGGUCCUACCCCUUCACCAUUACCCAAAAUAAAUUUUUCAUCAAGAA